UGGCCUAGAAGUUGAAAUAAUAUUUUUAGAUUUGAAUGAUACUUUUGUUUGUUUACCUAGUUGACAUGCAUCACAAAUUCUAUCCUUUUCAAAAUUUAAUUUAGGUAAACUGGUAACCAAUUCUUUUUUAAUAAGUUUUGAAAGUGAAUGCAUGCUAAUACGUGCAAGCCUAUGGUGCCACAGCCAACUAGUCUCAUUAAUUUUGGCAUUCAAGACUACUAGGCAUUGUAUAUUUAUCUUGAAAAGAUCAUUCAAAUCUACCAUAUAAAUAUUACCAUGUC
rnacentral:lncRNA from 1 species